AGUGAACGCUGGCGGUAGGCCUAACACAUGCAAGCCGAACGGCAGCACAGUAAGAGCUUGCUCUUACGGGUGGCGAGUGGCGGACGGGUGAGGAAUACAUCGGAAUCUACUUUUUCGUGGGGGAUAACGUAGGGAAACGUACGCUAAUACCGCAUACGACCUACGGGUGAAAGCAGGGGAUCUUCGGACCUUGCGUGAUUGAAUGAGCCGAUGCCGGAUUAGCUAGUUGGCGGGGAAAAGGCCCACCAAGGCGACGAUCCGUAGCUGGUCUGAGAGGAUGAUCAGCCACACUGGAACUGAGACACGGUCCAGACUCCUACGGGAGGCAGCAGUGGGGAAUAUUGGACAAUGGGCGCAAGCCUGAUCCAGCCAUACCGCGUGGGUGAAGAAGGCCUUCGGGUUGUAAAGCCCUUUUGUUGGGAAAGAAAAGCAGCAGGUUAAUACCCCGCUGUUCUGACGGUACCCAAAGAAUAAGCACCGGCUAACUUCGUG
rnacentral:rRNA from 1 species